rnacentral:tRNA from 1 species
GCCUGAGUGGCUCAGUUGGUUAAGCGUCUGACUUCGGCUCAGGUCAUGAUCUCACGGUUCCUGGGUUCGAGCCCCUCAUCGGGCU